UAAAGCUGUGUCAGUGUGUUGCUCACAGCUGCAGACUCGAGGAACGUCGAACGGGGCGGGAGUUAGAGAAGCCGACUGAGGGUGAGGCGGGAGGGGCGGUGAGAAGAGGCGGCUGGAUUCACGGGCUUGCUGCCGCUGAACUCGUCUGUACCGAAGCCGCGGCUCGUGGGGAGGCUCGAGGAAGACUUCGGUGCGCCUCGGCUCCCGGGUCUACCUUCCCGCGUCAGUUCCGCGUGGGCCGAAGCAGCUGUGUGCCCUCCCCUGUCUUCGCCCAAGUUGCCGGCCUCUCGGAGAACGGUGGCGCCCCCGCGCUGGCUUCCCCAAACUCACCUCUUAAGUGGCGGUGUUAGUGCGACCUUGUAAGCUCAAUUUGCAACAGAGAGCAAUAAACAGUUCUAAUUUAGAAAUCUUUUUGUUGUGAACGUUGGACCUUGAUAUAAAUGUCCAGUGAAGGAUUAUUCAAAAUAGGAAGCACAGAGCUUCCAAAAUGUACCAGCACCAAAAAUGUAAAAUCGGACCAAUAGAGAGAGAGACCGAGACCGAACACGAGCGGGGAAGGGGCAGAGAGAGAGGAAGACACAGAAUCUGAAGCAGGCUCCAGGCUCUGAGCUGUCAGCACAGAGCCUGACUCUAGGCUCGAACCCACGGACUGCAAGAUCAUGACCUGAGCCGAAGUGGGAUGCUUAACCGAUUGAGCCCCCCGGGCGCCCCAAAUGCUCAUCAUUCUGUAUGUAUGUAUAUAUGUAUAAUAUAUAAUGCAUAUAUAUAAACAAACCAAUACAUGUGUUUGUAUAUGCAUAUAAAAUUCAAGUCUGGAAAGCUAAUCAUCAAAACUUACCACUGGGUAAGAUAUGAGAAAAGUGGGUGAUGAGAGGACAUUUUUUACCUUAAAUAUUUCAGUACUACUUGAAUUAUUUCACAGCAUGCAUUAUGUAAAGUUCCUUAUUAAUCAUAAAGUGGUGAUUUAAAUAGAUCUUGUGAAACAUCAGUUAUAUCUGAAAAGAAUAUUUCUCAAAGAAUGGCUCCCAGAUCACGUAAUUCAGAAUCACCUUGAAUUCUGACUCUUGGACCCCACCCAGGUAUGUGGAAGAAGUGUUUGGUGGGGCUUGGGAAUCGUUUUAAUAAGCAGCCUCAGUGAUUCUUAUAAAUCUAGAAUUUGAGGAGUAAGGACCUAAAGAAUGAGGGGCGCCGGACUGGCUCAGUAGGUAGAGCAUAUGACUCCUCUUGAUCUUAGUGUCAUGAGUUUGAGCCCCAUGUUGUGGGUAAAGGUUACUUUUAAACACCCACACACAACUGAAGAAUGAGAUAGGCAAGUUGUUUUUGAGGCAUGCCUGCUUAGGUAAAGACAUAAACUAAAUAAUGAAGCCUUACACUUUUAUACUGAGCCCUAUAUUUUCAAAGCUUUUUAAUACUUUCUCCCAAAGUAAUCAGGAUAGAGAUCACCCCCAUUUUAGAGAUUAAAUGAUUAAAGUACUUGAUAUGACUUUCCUGGGGUACUUUUCAUUCUAUGUUACCAAGUUUCUGGUCCUUACUAUAUAUGUCCUCUCUAUACUUUAAAGAAAGGCCUUAGUUGCUUUCUCCCAGGGAUCUUAUUAUUAUUUUGAAUUGGAAGACAAGCCCAAAACACUUAUUUUAUGUAUGAAACAUGACCACAAAAUAUUUGAGAAUUCUUCCUAGGGGAUCUUAAUGGAUUUUGCUGUAUCUCUAUGGAGACAGAUUUAGGUUCUUGGUUUUUGUUUUUCUUUUCCUUUUUUUUGGUUUAUUUUUGAGAUAGAGUGCAAGUGGGGGAGGGACAGAGAGAGAGGGAGACACAAUCGGAAGUAGGCUCCAGGCUCUGAGCUGUCAGCACAGAGCAGAACAAGGGUAUUGAACCCACGGACCAUGAGAUCAUGACCUGAAGCCAAGUUGGACACUUAACCGACUGAGCCACCCAGGCACCCCAGGUUCUAGGUUAUUCUAUUUAAUAUCUGCAUGACUUGGGGCAAAUUGUCUAAAGGUUCUAAGCCUCAGUUUCUUCAUCAGAAAAGUAGAAUAAUAUGUCUACUUCAUAGUAGUGUUGUGAGGAUCACAAUAAAUGUAAUGGUGUAUAAAACAUCUAGCAUAGCCCAUAGUACAGAAUAAAUGGGCAGUGAAUAUUAGUUCUCUUCCUCAAUCCAACUCCUACCUCCCUAACCUCCCCAACCUCCCCAGCACAGCCACCCCCCCCCCCCAUACCUAAAGUCAUUCACAACAUCAUAAAACCUACACACUAGGGGAAGAAACACUUGCAAUACAAAAAUGACAGUCAAAUCUUUUGGCUCAAGAAGAUUUUAUAAAAUUGUGGCGCCUGGGUGGCUUAGUUGGUUAUAUAUCCAACUCUUGAUGUCAGCUCAGUUCUUGAUAUCAGCUAGGUCUUGAUCCCAGGGUCAUGGGAUCCAACCCCACAUUGGGGUCUGUGCUGAUGGUGCGGAGUCUGCUUAAGAUUCUCUCUGUCGGGGCACCUGGGUGGCUUAGUUGGUUAAGCAUCCAGCUUCCGCUCAGGUCAUGAUCUCAAAGUUUGUGGGUUCAAGCCCUGCAUCGGGCUCUGUGCUGACAGUCUGGAGCCUGCUUGGGCUUCUCUCUCUCUCCUCUCUCUGCUCCUGCCCUGUUUGUACUCUCUCUUUCUCUCAAAGAAAUGAAUUUAAAAAGAUUCUCUCUCUCUUUCCCUCUGUCCCUCUCACCUGCUCACUUGGUCUUUCUAAAAUUAAAAAAAUUUUUAAUUAAAUUUCCCACCUUUGUAUUUUAUUAGAGCAGAAAUUGGCAAACUUUUUCUAUGGAGUCAAAUAAUAAAUAUUUUAGGACUUUGAGGCCAUAUGUUCUACGAGGCAACUACUCAGCUCUGCUGUUGUUUCACAAAAGCAGCCAUAAGCAAUAUAUAAUGGCUGUGUUCCAGUAAAACUUUAUUUACAGAAUCAGGCAGCCGGCCAAAUUUGGCCUGCAGGCCAUACUUUGCUGACCCUUGUGUUAAAAUAUUACUCUUACUAUUAUUAAAAAUGGGUGCUUUAAGUCAUGUCCUCAUUCUAAAGAGAUGUAUGUUGAAGUAUUUACAGAUGAAGUGUCAUGAUUAUCUGCAACUUAUUUUUGAAUUGCUAAAAUAAAUGUAAAUAAAGUCCUAAAAUAAAUGAAGGUAGACAGUUGGGUAGAGCAAAUGCAGCAAAGUGUUAACAAUUGUUGAAUUUAAAGUGGAGGGUAUUUAGGUAUUGGGUGUAUUAUUCAACUUUCUUGAGUUUGAAAAUCAUCAUACUAAAAAGUUGAGAAAUAUAUAUGCCUUAAGAAAGGACUUUGCCAUCUAGAUAUUAUUUUGUUUUUUUCUGGAUGCCCAUCUGUAGCAUUUCAGAGUGAUUUUGAAAAAAUACCAACAGGUAAAUGUGAUAGAAUAGAAUUAACACAAGGCUUUGGAUUUCCAUUCACCAAAAUCGCUGCUCCAAGAUUCUGAGAACUCUGCAGGCACGUGCAUUCAUUGUGCUUUUGGUUUAUACUUGCUAUGGGAAUUAAAAGUGACAGGCUGCAUUCCCGGUUAGAGCAAAUACUAACAAGUUCAUGUGAUAUUCAUUGGUUCAGUACACUGGCCCAUCCCCUUAAGCAGUUAAAACUAUCAUAUUCAUUAUCAUCGCUAUUACUUAGUGUCCAGAUUAGGAAGUGGCCCAUUAAUACAGGUGACCCUUGAACAACUCAGAGGUCAGAGGCACCGACCCCCCACAUUUUCAAAAGCCCAUUGUAUAACUUUUGACUCCUAAAAAACUUAACUACUAAUAGCCUCCUGUUGACCAGAAGAGCCUUAUCAAUAACAUAAACAGUCAGAUAAUGUAUUUUUUAUAUUCUAUGUAUUAUAUACUAUAUACUUACAAUAAAGUAAAUGAGAAAAGAAUAUGUUCCUAAGAAAAUCAUAAGAGUAAAUACAUCACAGUUCUGUAUUGGAAAAAAAAAAUCCACAUAUAAGUGGACCCUUCCGGUUCAAAUCAGUGUUGUUCAAGGGUCAGCUGUAAUUUGGAACUCUAUUUGUCUAACUCACCCUUCACAUUCUUAAGUCACCCGGACAUUAAACAUGCUCAGAAAUCUGGUGAGGGAGGGACAAUGAAUCCAAGUGAAAAGAUCCUGUAAACUGAAUGAAUGUUGGUGACCUUUUGACUAACUAAACACACAUAGACCAAUAUAAGAAUUCUGAACCAUUAGAGGACAAAGGGGAAUGAAUGCUACCAAUUCCUCUGCACCCUUUCUGCCUCCACAAUAAUAAGGAAUCCAGAAUAUUUCUUCUGUUCCCCUCUCUGUUCAGACUAGGAAUGCUCCAGACUGCACUGGAUUAAAAAUAAGCCAGGGAAAUGCUUUCUCCUUUUUUUUUUUUUUUUAAACCAUUUUUCCAUCCAAGGAGCAUAGGUUUUUUAUAUUCUUGGAUACAAAGAACCCAGAAUACUUCACUAUUUUACUAUAGAGGGGUGACAUUUUGGGAAAGUAGUGUCUAUAAAUGUCUUUGGAUUAUUUUAUAUUUCUUAGAGUCCAUUUUUGAAAUUUUAGUAUAAGUGGGGUUACUAUGUUUCUAAGUGUCCAUAAUAACAUUUUACAUAUUCAGUAAUUUGAAAAGCCUGCCAUGUACAUGUACUUUUAUCCUUAAUAAAGCUGUAAUACACAGAUU